rnacentral:rRNA from 1 species
UGGGGAAUAUUGCACAAUGGGGGAAACCCUGAUGCAGCGACGCCGCGUGAGUGAAGAAGUAAUUCGUUAUGUAAAGCUCUAUCAGCAGGGAAGAAAUGACGGUACCUGAGUAAGAAGCCCCGGCUAACUACGUGCC